CCUACGGGUGGCCGCAGUGGGGAAUAUUGCACAAUGGGCGAAACCCUGAUGCAGCGACGCCGCGUGAGUGAAGAAGUUAUUCGUUAUGUAAAGCUCUAUCAGCAGGGCAGAAAAUGACGUUACCUGAGUAAGAAGCCCCGGCUAACUACGGGCCAGCAGCCGCGGUAAUACGUCGGGGGCAAGCGUUAUCCGGAUGUACUGGGUGUAAAGGGAGCGUAGACGGCAGUGCAAGUCUGGAGUGAAAGGCGCGGGCUCAACCCCCGGACUGCUCUGGAAACUGUACGGCUUGAGUGCAGGAGAGGUAAGUGGAAUGCCUAGUGUAGCGGUGAAAUGCGUAGAUAUUAGGAGGAACACCAGUGGCGAAGGCGGCAUACUGGACUGUAACUGACGUUGAGGCACGAAAGCGUGGGUAGCAAACAGGAUUAGAUACCCUUGUAGUC
rnacentral:rRNA from 1 species